rnacentral:rRNA from 1 species
GCCAUAAAGGUUACCGAACCCUGUCAAACUCCGAAUGGAUAUACUGCAGAGCCUGGGAGUCAGACUACGAGUGAUAAGAUCCGUGGUCAAAAGGGAAACAGCCCAGACCACCGGCUAAGGUCCCAAAUGCCGUACUAAGUGGAAAAGGAUGUGGGGAUUCAUAAACAACCAGGAUGUUGGCUCAGAAGCAGCCACCAUUUAAAGAGUGCGUAAUAGCUCACUGGUCGAGAGUCCCUGCGCCGAAAAUUUCCGGGGCUAAAGUACGGAACCGAAGCCGUGGCUGUGUACGUAAGUACACGGGGUAGGGGAGCGUUGCCACAGGGGUGAAGCUGGUCUGGAAGGACUGGUGGACUUGUGGGAAGUGAGAAUGUUGGUAUGAGUAGCGAAAAGAAAGGUGAGAAUCCUUUCCACCGAAAGCAUAAGGAUUCCUGAGCAACGAUCGUCGUCUCAGGGUAAGUCGGGACCUAAUCCGAGGCAAGGAGCGUAGGAGAUGGACAACAGGUUGAUAUUCCUGUACCGGCAGCAAUUGUUUGAGCGAAGGAGUGACACAGAAGGGCAGGCAGGCGCGAGACUGGAUUGUCGCGUGCAAGCGUGUAGGGUAGUGUACAGGCAAAUCCGUACACUGAGAGCCUGAGGCGUUACGCGGAGCGAGCAGAGAUGCGAGCGAAGCUGCUGAUCCCACACUGUCGAGAAAAGCUUCUAGUGAGAGAGCUGCCGCCCGUACCGUAAACCGACACAGGUAUGCGGGGAGAGAAUCCUAAGGUGCGCGGGAGAACCCUCGUUAAGGAACUCGGCAAAAUGUACCCGUAACUUCGGGAUAAGGGUAGCCGUCUUGGUGAAGGAGCAUGCCUCUGGAGCUGAAGGCGGUCGCAGAGAAGAGGCCCAAGCGACUGUUUACCACAAACACAGGUGCCUGCUAAAGCGAAAGCUGACGUAUAGGUGCUGACACCUGCCCAGUGCUGGAAGGUUAAGGAAGGAUGUCCGGGCAACCAAAGCAUUCGACCGAAGCCCCAGUGAACGGCGGCCGUAACUAUAACGGUCCUAAGGUAGCGAAAUUCCUUGUCGGGUAAGUUCCGACCCGCACGAAAGGUGUAACGAUUUGGGCACUGUCUCAACGAGGGACCCGGUGAAAUUGAAAUACCUGUGAAGAUGCAGGUUACCCGCGACUGGACAGAAAGACCCCAUGGAGCUUUACUGUAACCUGACAUUGGGUUUUGUUGUAUUACGUACAGGAUAGGUGGGAGGCUUGGAAGGCUGGACGCUAGUCUGGCUGGAGCCGGCGUUGGGAUACCACCCUUGAUACAACGGAAUUCUAACCGAGAGAGUAACGAAAUCCGGGACAGUGUCAGGCGGGCAGUUUGACUGGGGCGGUCGCCUCCGAAAGAGUAACGGAGGCGCCCAAAGGUUCCCUCAGCGCGGCCGGAAAUCGCGCGAAGAGUGUAAAGGCAGAAGGGAGCUUGACUGCGAGCCAAACACGGCGAGCAGGUACGAAAGUAGGGCUUAGUGAUCCGGUGGUACCGAGUGGAAGGGCCAUCGCUCAACGGAUAAAAGCUACCCUGGGGAUAACAGGCUAAUCUCUCCCAAGAGUCCAUAUCGACGGGGAGGUUUGGCACCUCGAUGUCGGCUCAUCACAUCCUGGGGCUGAAGUCGGUCCCAAGGGUUGGGCUGUUCGCCCAUUAAAGUGGUACGUGAGCUGGGUUCAGAACGUCGUGAGACAGUUCGGUCCCUAUCCAUCGCGGGCGCAAGAGAUUUGAAGGGGUCUGCUCCUAGUACGAGAGGACCGGAGUGGACGGACCGCUGGUGUACCAGUUAUUCCGCCAGGAGUACAGCUGGGUAGCUACGUCCGGACUGGAUAAACGCUGAAAGCAUCUAAGCGUGAAGCCAUCCUUAAGAUGAGAUCUCUCACAGAGUAAUCUGGUAAGACACCUUAAAGAAGAUGAGGUAGAUAGGCCGGGAGUGUAAGUGCAGCAAUGUAUUGAGCUGACCGGUACUAAUAUGUCGAGGGCUUGACUUC